rnacentral:tRNA from 1 species
ACGAGUAUGCCGGAAUUGGUAGACGGGUGAGUUUUAGGUACUCAUGAUUUUUUUUAAUUGUAAGAGUUCAAGUCUCUUUAUUCGUA